rnacentral:lncRNA from 1 species
UUUUCAGCCUCUUUAACUCUUGUGGCAGACUGCUGGUUAUCAUAAUUCAAGAAGAGAUUCUUUGCCCUCAUAAGCCCAAGUACUGGAGUGGGCUGCAAUUUGGGGACUUCUUCAGAGCAUUACACUGGGCUACCAGCUCAUGCUGGGAUCCUUCCUUUUCCCCCUGGACCUGGGCUGUAGUAGCGGGCACAAUACUGGGUGUGCACUCAUUGUGGGACUUCGCUUUGCUCGGAGACCUUCAAACCUUGUCUCUUCACAUCACCAUAUCCUUUGCAACCAUUCCCCAGCACAGCCUGGACUGUGACAGCCCCACAGGGUGGCUGGACCCAGAGGAGCAGUGGGCUUCACAACCUUGGCCUCUCUUCCUCAGUGUACUGAAUCAGCUUUUGCUAUAAUUUUGGUGACUCAUAUUGGCCCUGAUCAUUAUUGGAAUCCCGUAAGUUUCAUAUUCUGCUCCAAGAAACAUUUGGAUAAAUUGAGAAAAACUAAUAGCCUUUCAUGGUAAUAACAGUCUACUCCCUUCAUGAUGUCAACAAAUGCUAUCAGAGUCCACACAAGACCUCCCAAACAUUUCUGAUGAUCAGAGACAAGAUACCGUCUUAUAUACCAAAAACCUCAGGUGAGAAACAGAAGUAAACUGGCAAGCCAUCCCUGAAGCUCCAGACAGC